rnacentral:tRNA from 1 species
GUGGGGUUGUAGCUCAAUGGUAGAGUGCUUGCCUCACACAUAUUCGAUCCUGGGUUCGAUCCUCAGCACCACA